GUGUCAGCCGCCGCGGUAAUACGAAGGGGGCGAGCGUUGUUCGGAUUUACUGGGCGUAAAGGGCGCGCAGGCGGCUAGUUUUGUCGAGUGUGAAAGCCCCGGGCUUAACCUGGGAACUGCGCUCGAAACGGGCUGGCUAGAGAUCGGGAGAGGAGAGUGGAAUUCCCAGUGUAGAGGUGAAAUUCGUAGAUAUUGGGAAGAACACCGGUGGCGAAGGCGGCUCUCUGGACCGAUACUGACGCUGAGGCGCGAAAGCGUGGGGAGCAAACAGGAUUAGAAACCCCUGUAGUCC
rnacentral:rRNA from 1 species